CAUGGUGAUCCUGUCCUGGGAAAACCAAACGAUGAGAGUGGAAUUCGUGCUUCAAGGAUUGUCUUCAAUCAGACAGUUAAAUAUUUUCCUCUUUAUGAUAAUUUUAGUUUUCUACAUCUUAACUGUUUCUGGAAACAUCCUCAUUGUCCUUCUAGUUUUAGUCAGACAUCAUCUCCAAACCCUAUGUACUUCUUCCUGGUGAACUUAUCCUGUCUGGAGAUCUGGUAUACUUCUAACAUCAUCCCCAAAAUGUUGCUGAUUAUCAUAGCUGAACAGAAGACUAUCUCUGUGGCUGGCUGCCUGGCACAGUUCUACUUCUUCGGAUCCCUGGCUGCCACGGAGUGCCUCUUGCUCACUGUGAUGUCCUGUGACCGCUACCUAGCCAUCUACCAGCCUCUUCGCUACCGUGUCCUCAUGACUGGCCCCCUUUGCAUCAGGCUAGCUGCUGGCUCUUGGUUCUGCUGCUUCCUCCUUACAGCAGUCACCGUGGUCUUGCUAUGUAGACUCACCUUCUGUGCACCCUAUGAAAUUAAUCACUUCUUUUGUGACUUCACUCCUCUGGUUCAUCUCUCCUGCAUGGAUACCUCAGUGACUGAGACCAUUGCCUUUGCCACCUCUUCUGCAGUGACUCUGGUCCCAUUUCUCCUCAUUGUAGCCUCCUACUCCUGCGUCCUUUCUGCUAUCCUAAGAAUCCCAUCUGGCACAGGCCAGAAAAAGGCCUUCUCCACCUGUUCUUCCCACCUCACUGUGGUCAUGGUGUUUUAUGGGACACUGAUUGCCACAUACCUUGUGCCCUCAGCCAACUCAUCCCGACUCUUGCACAAAGGGUCCUCUCUGCUCUACAUCAUCCUGACACCCAUGUUUAACCCCAUCAUUUAUAGCCUGAGAAACAGAGACAUCCAUGAAGCUCUGAAGAAGUGCUUGAGGAAGAAGUCAGGUGGUUGCCUUAGAUA
rnacentral:sRNA from 1 species